AGAGUUUGAUCCUGGCUCAGGGUGAACGCUAGCUACAGGCUUAACACAUGCAAGUCGAGGGGAAACGAUAUUGGAAGCUUGCUUCCGAUAGGCGUCGACCGGCGCACGGGUGAGUAACGCGUAUCCAACCUGCCCACCACUUGGGGAUAACCUUGCGAAAGUAAGACUAAUACCCAAUGACGUCUCUAGAAGACAUCUGAAAGAGAUUAAAGAUUUAUCGGUGAUGGAUGGGGAUGCGUCUGAUUAGCUUGUUGGCGGGGUAACGGCCACCAAGGCUACGAUCAGGUAGGGGUUCUGAGAGGAACGGUCCCCCACAUUGGAACUGAGACACGGUCCAAACUCCUACGGGAGGCA
rnacentral:rRNA from 1 species